rnacentral:rRNA from 1 species
AUCCUGGCCGUAAACGAUGGGUACUAGGUGUUGGGGGUAUCGACCCCUCCAGUGCCGGAGUUAACGCAAUAAGUACCCCGCCUGGGGAGUACGGCCGCAAGGUUGAAACUCAAAGGAAUUGACGGGGGCCCGCACAAGCGGUGGAGUAUGUGGUUUAAUUCGACGCAACGCGAAGAACCUUACCAGGACUUGACAUUGAGUGAAAUGUUAAGAGAUUAGCACCUUCUCUUCGGAGAACACGAAAACAGGUGGUGCAUGGCUGUCGU